UUCUAGGGGUGGACCACCUGCAAAGCGGCUGUCCCAGGUGGCCGACACUGUCUUUCAAGUCCUGGGACACUCUGAGGUCAGUGUCACCGGGCUGCCAACAGGCAUUGACACGUCAAUGAUGCAGGCCCUUGAAAUGCAGCAAAGCAUGGAGCCAUCACAAGAACCGGGCCCAUCAAGUUUGCCGCCUGAACCAUCUGCAGCUGCUACUCAGGAUAGCCCGGCGGAUCAAACACCAUUCCCAUCCGCAGCACCUGCUCCGUCAGCAUCCCUGCAGGAGAGAAGAUUGCAACUCACAAUUGAUGUGUUUGAACAACAAAAAAAAGUCAUUUCCCUUCAGGAGGAGUACUACCGCCUUAAAAUUGAACACCUAAAAAAUAAACAAUUUAGAGAUUG